rnacentral:rRNA from 1 species
UACGAAGGGGGCUAGCGUUGUUCGGAAUUACUGGGCGUAAAGCGCGCGCAGGCGGUCCUUCAAGUCAGAGGUGAAAGCCCAGAGCUCAACUCUGGAACGGCCUUUGAGACUAGAGGACUAGGGUACAGGAGAGGUGAGUGGAAUUCCGAGUGUAGAGGUGAAAUUCGUAGAUAUUCGGAAGAACACCAGUGGCGAAGGCGGCUCACUGGCCCGUUACCGACGCUCAGGCGCGACAGCGUGGGGAGCAAACAGG